rnacentral:rRNA from 1 species
UAGGAGCCCCGGGGGGCCGCAGAGAAAUGGCCCAGGCGACUGUUUAGCAAAAACACAGCACUAUGCAAACCUCUAAGGGGAAGUAUAUGGUGUGACGCCUGCCCAAUGCCAAAAGGUUAAAGGGAUAUGUCAGCUGCAAAGCGAAGCAUUGAACCUAAGCCCUGGUGAAUGGCCGCCGUAACUAUAACGGUGCUAAGGUAGCGAAAUUCCUUGUCGGGUAAGUUCCGACCUGCACGAAUGGUGUAACGAUCUGGGCACUGUCUCAACGAAAGACUCGGUGAAAUUGUAGUAGCAGUGAAGAUGCUGUUUACCCGCGAAAGGACGAAAAGACCCCGUGAACCUUUACUGUACUUUGGUAUUGAUUUUUGGUUUGUUAUGUGUAGGAUAGCCAGGAGACUAGGAACACUCUUCUUCAGGAGAGUGGGAGUCAACGUUGAAAUACUGGUCUUAACAAGCUGGGAAUCUAACAUUAUUCCAUGAAUCUGGAAGAUGGACAUUGCCAGACGGGCAGUUUUACUGGGGCGGUAUCCUCCUAAAAAGUAACGGAGGAGCCCAAAGCUUAUUUCAUCGUGGUUGGCAAUCACGAGUAGAGCGUAAAGGUAUAAGAUAGGUUGACUGCAAGACCAACAAGUCGAGCAGAGACGAAAGUCGGGCUUAGUGAUCCGGCGGUGGAAAGUGGAAUCGCCGUCGCUUAACGGAUAAAAGGUACUCCGGGGAUAACAGGCUGAUCGCCACCAAGAGUUCAUAUCGACGUGGCGGUUUGGCACCUCGAUGUCGGCUCAUCGCAUCCUGGGGCUGGAGAAGGUCCCAAGGGUUUGGCUGUUCGCCAAUUAAAGCGGUACGCGAGCUGGGUUCAAAACGUCGUGAGACAGUUUGGUCUCUAUCCUUCGUGGGCGCAGGAUACUUGAGAGGAGCUGUUCCUAGUACGAGAGGACCGGAAUGGACGAACCAAUGGUGUGUCGGUUGUUUUGCCAAGAGCAUAGCCGAGUAGCUACG